rnacentral:misc_RNA from 1 species
GAUGAAGAACGCAGCGAAAUGCGAUACGUAGUGUGAAUUGCAGAAUUCCGUGAACCAUCAAAUCUUUGAACGCAUAUUGCGCUCGAGGCUUCGGCCGAGAGCAUGUCUGCCUCAGCGUCGGUAUUACCCCUCGCUUCUCAACCCCUGGUUGAUGCCUGCCUGCCUUUGCAGUUGGCUAGAAGCGGAUCUGGCUUUCCCAAUUGCCUUUGGUAGUUGGGUCAGCUGAAGCACAGAGGCUUGAGCAAGGACCCUUAUUGGGCUUCAACUGGAUAGGUAGAACUGGUCUUAGGACCAACUACACGAAGUUGUUGCUUGUGGUCUUUGUCUGGAGGCCAGCAGGACACCUUUAUACCUUCGACCUGAGCUCAGGCAAGAUUACCCGCUGAACUUAAGCAUAUCAAUAAGCGGAGGA